rnacentral:rRNA from 1 species
AUAAGCGGAGGAAAAGAAACCAACAGGGAUUGCCCCAGUAACGGCGAGUGAAGCGGCAACAGCUCAAAUUUGAAAUCUGGCUUCGGCCCGAGUUGUAAUUUGUAGAGGAUGCUUUUGGUGAGGUGCCUUCUGAGUUCCCUGGAACGGGACGCCAGAGAGGGUGAGAGCCCCGUAUAGUUGGACACCGAGCCUCUGUAAAGCUCCUUCGACGAGUCGAGUAGUUUGGGAAUGCUGCUCAAAAUGGGAGGUAUAUCUCUUCUAAAGCUAAAUACUGGCCAGAGACCGAUAGCGCACAAGUAGAGUGAUCGAAAGAUGAAAAGCACUUUGAAAAGAGGGUUAAAUAGUACGUGAAAUUGUUGAAAGGGAAGCGCUUGUGACCAGACUUGUGCCCGGCUGAUCAUCCAGUGUUCUCACUGGUGCACUCUGCCGGGCUCAGGCCAGCGUCGGUUCUCGCAGGGGGACAAAAGCUUCGGGAACGUAGCUCCUCCGGGAGUGUUAUAGCCCGUUGCUCAAUACCCCUGCGGGGACCGA